CCUACGGGAGGCUGCAGUGGGGGAUAUUGCACAAUGGGGGAAACCCUGAUGCAGCGACGCCGCGUGUGGGAAGACGGUCCUCUGGAUUGUAAACCACUUUCCCCAGGGACGAAGAUGACGGUACCUGGGGAUGAAGCUCCGGCUAACUACGUGCCAGCAGCCGCGGUAAUACGUAGGUAGCAAGCGUUGUCCGGAAUUACUGGGUGAAAUGGGAGCGUAGGCGGGGUGGCAAGUUGGGUGUUAAAUCUACGGGCUAAACUGUUAGGCGCACCCAAAACUGCUAUUCUUGAGUGAAGAAGAGGGAGGUGGAAUUCCUAGGGUAGCGGUGAAAUGCGUAGAUAUCUGGAGGAACAUCAGUGGCGAAGGCGACUAUCUGGCACAUAACUGACGCUGAGGAGCGAAAGCGUGGGUAGCAAACAGGAUUAGAUACCCGAGUAGUC
rnacentral:rRNA from 1 species